UGGGGAAUUUUGCACAAUGGGGGAAACCCUGAUGCAGCGACGCCGCGUGAUUUAGAAGGCCUUCGGGUUGUAAAAAUCUUUUCUAUGGGAAGAAAAUGACAGUACCAUAGGAAUAAGGACCGGCUAAUUACGUGCCAGCAGCCGCGGUAAUACGUAAGGUCCGAGCGUUGUCCGGAAUCAUUGGGCGUAAAGGGUACGUAGGCGGGUAAGCAAGUUAGAAGUGAAAUCCUAUAGCUCAACUAUAGUAAGCUUUUAAAACUGCUCAUCUUGAGGUAUGGAAGGGAAAGUGGAAUUCCUAGUGUAGCGGUGAAAUGCGCAGAUAGUAGGAGGAAUACCGGUGGCGAAGGCGACUUUCUGGCCAUAACCUGACGCUGAGGUACGAAAGCGUGGGUAGCAAACAGG
rnacentral:rRNA from 2 species